ACUUUGUCAUUAUUUGGGUAUCGAGUUUGUGAAAAAAUAAUUUAAACAAAUGAAGCAUGGGGCUGCAACAUAAAAAAAACAAAAUGAAGUCUGAAUACUUUCAACCAUUUAAUCAUUCAACCAUUCUCCACUUGGGAAGCAGAAAUAUGACAUACACUUCAUCAAUAUUUCCAAUACAGCCAUAGCAUUUUGUAUCUACAUUUUUAGCUGCUGGGCAGUACAGCAAGUCAUUUUGACACUUUGUAUUUUUUUGCAAUAUGAUUAAUAAUAUCUGUGAAUAUCGGAGCCAUCUACUUUUAUGUAACCGGUGCUAAGGGAUUGUAAUUUGCAAAGUAUAGAUAUCGCUCAGGGUUUAAGACACUUUCUUGGAAUUUACUUUGUUUUUAAGAUGUAGCACAUGAGUUUUGUGGCCAUUCUUUGUGGCUCACAAGAUGUUACUUUUGGGGAAAGUGAUACAGCUACACUUGAUAUAGCUACAUAACUUAGUUAAAGCUGUCUAAUGCUGCAUUUUGUUUAUAUCAUGUGGCCAAAAGUAGGUAUUCUGAGGCAAAGCGCAGAAUGUUGAGAGAUGUCCUUUUGAAUAGUGCUCCUUUAUGAGAAAUUGCACUAGAAUAACACUUGUUUUUUCCAUAAUAAAUAUUAUCCUAAAUUGCUUGUGAAGCAAUCAUCAGGAACAUUCCUUUGGUAUCUAUGGCUAUUGCUCAUAUUUUUUUCUUACUUAUCUCAUUUAUAUAGACUCCUCAACAGUAGUUUAUAAUCUGUAGACAUAGUACAUUAGACACAUGGGGUUUACGCAAGGCUACAACUAUCUCCUUUUCUUGUUCUACAUUAUAACUCGGUUUGCUAGAAAUUUAUAUCAUGUACAGCUUUUUGUGUACCCUGUGCCCUUCCUGUAAUAAUAGGUUAAAUGCAACAGCCUGAUAAUGUUCAUGUUUGUAUGGCUUUUAAAUAAUGUUUUGUUAAUGAGUAAAAAAGAA